rnacentral:rRNA from 1 species
AGAAGUUGGGUUCAGUCCCGCACCGAGCGCGACCCUCACCUUUUGUUGCCAGCAAGUUAUGCCGGGGACUCAUGGGAAACUGCCGGGGUCAACUCGAAGAAGGGGGGGACCGACUUCAAAUCUCCUGGCCCCUUUUGUCUUGGGCUUCCAACAUGCUACAAUGGCCGGAACAAAGGGUUGCCAUACUGUGAGGUGGAGCUAAUCCCAAAAAGCCGGCCUCAUUUCGGAUUGAGUUCUGCAACCCGCCCUCCUGAAGUUGGAGUCGCUAGUAAUCCAUGAUCACCAACGCUGCGAUGAAUACUUUCCCG